UGCCAGCCGCCGCGGUAAGACGGAGGAUUCAAGCGUUAUCCGGAAUUAUUGGGUUUAAAGGGUCCGCAGGCUGUUUGUUAAGUUAGAGGUGAAAUCCUACCGCUCAACGGUAGAACUGCCUUUAAAACUGGCAAACUUGAGUUAUUGUGAAGUAAUUAGAAUGUGUAGUGUAGCGGUGAAAUGCAUAGAUAUUACACAGAAUACCGAUUGCGAAAGCAGAUUACUAACAAUUAACUGACGCUGAGGGCCCAAAGCCUGGGUAGCGAACCGGAUUUGAUA
rnacentral:rRNA from 1 species